rnacentral:rRNA from 1 species
GGGCCCGCACAAGCGGUGGAGCAUGUGGUUUAAUUCGAUGAUACGCGAGGAACCUUACCAGGGCUUAAAUGUAGUGGGACAGGUCUAGAGAUAGACCCUUCUUCGGACUCAUUACAAGGUGCUGCAUGGUUGUCGUCAGCUCGUGCCGUGAGGUGUCAGGUUAAGUCCUAUAACGAGCGCAACCCCUAUCGUUAGUUGCCAGCGAGUAAUGUCGGGAACUCUAACGAAACUGCCAGUGCAAACUGUGAGGAAGGUGGGGAUGACGUCAAAUCAUCACGGCCCUUACGGCCUGGGCUACACACGUGCUACAAUGGCUAGGACAGACGGCUGCAAACCAGCGAUGGGGAG